rnacentral:tRNA from 1 species
GGGGCCAUAGCUCAGCUGGGAGAGCGCCUGCUUUGCACGCAGGAGGUCAGGAGUUCGAUCCUCCUUGGCUCCACAA